GCGCGGCGAAAAACCUUACACACAGUGUUUUUUGUUAUUACAAGAACUUUUGCUUUGGUCUGGACUAGAAAUAGUUUGGGCCAGAGGUUUACUGAACUAAACUUCAAUAUUUAUAUUGAAUUGUUAUUUAUUUAAUUGUCAAUUUGUUGAUUAAAUUCAAAAAAUCUUCAAAACUUUCAACAACGGAUCUCUUGGUUCUCGCAUCGAUGAAGAACGCAGCGAAAUGCGAUAAGUAAUAUGAAUUGCAGAUUUUCGUGAAUCAUCGAAUCUUUGAACGCACAUUGCGCCCUCUGGUAUUCCAGAGGGCAUGCCUGUUUGAGCGUCAUUUCUCUCUCAAACCUUCGGGUUUGGUAUUGAGUGAUACUCUUAGUCGAACUAGGCGUUUGCUUGAAAUGUAUUGGCAUGAGUGGUACUGGAUAGUGCUAUAUGACUUUCAAUGUAUUAGGUUUAUCCAACUCGUUGAAUAGUUUAAUGGUAUAUUUCUCGGUAUUCUAGGCUCGGCCUUACAAUAUAACAAACAAGUUUGACCUCAAAUCAGGUAGGA
rnacentral:rRNA from 1 species